rnacentral:lncRNA from 1 species
UAUAUAUAUAUAUAUUUCAGCUGGGGAAAAAAAGAAAUAGCCCAUAAUAAUGAAUUACGAAUAAUACCAGCAUCAACAGCUUCUCAGAAAGCUCCCCCAAAGAAUUACUAAAUACAAAUCAAAAGUGUGUAACAGCGUGUAUCUAACGCUGAAUAAUAUUACAACAUGGUACAAUUAUUAAGGGAAUCAAUUAAAAAAAAUCAAAAUUUUCGGCUGAGAAGGAAAAUUGAGAGCGAUCAGAAAUCUGCAAAAUAGUUUCGCGAAUCUCCAUAAUCAUCAUCAUCGUUAAUUCAUAUACCGAUCAGCCAAGCCAGAAAAGGCAACAAAAACAAAAUCGAACCAACAAGCAACAAAAGCCUAGGUACAAAAACAAGAAUCUGCAUCAAUUAAUCCAAAAACAAUCGGACCAUGGCUACUAUCAAAAUCAAAAACCAGAAAUGCAACUAAAAAAUAGAAAUGAGAUUAGAAAUUACCUGUCUGUCCAAAUAUGAUCUGCGAUUUCCAGAAAUCGCGAGAGGAGAAAAUAGGGCGCUGUAUUGUGUUUGUCGGAAAAAAAGAAAAAAGAAAAAGAUCCGUCUCAUUUAUUACGCCAUUUUACAAAGGAUUGUCACGUGUCGUGCACGUCAACUGGACUUUUCCGACGUGGAAAUUAGUAAUUCAUUGGUAGCCCGUCAAAAUUGACUCUUACUUGUUCACCUCAAAAUUUAUCCCACCAGGAUCUAAUCCGC